AAAAUUUCCCAGAGACUUUAGAAUGGCAGCAAGUAAACCACAAUGAUCUUGGAGCCAAAGCGUCUGUGGUCACCAUGUAUACACAGACAUAGACGCAUUGUCUUCUACUUCCGAAGAUGAUUUUCUCAGCAGAUUUUUCCCCCAUUGUGCCCGCACUGUGGCAAACACAAGAGGACAUGAAUGGUUGGCGGUGCAGUGUGGUGGAAGUGCAUUGCAGUGGAUCCCAAGGAAACCAGAGGCAAAUUCUGGCUCUGCCACUAGCAAGGCUCUGUGGCUAGGGUACCCCUGUGGAAUUCAGCCUCCUCAUCCGUGAAAUGAAGAAGUGAAACAAAAACAUCUUAAUGUUAUUUCUAACACCUGCUUUCUCUGGAUUCAGCAUCAGAAUAUAUCCAGAUAAGACUGCAAACAACUGAGAGAGCUAAUUCUUUGCUGUUGGGAAUGAGAGUUAGACUACCAUCAAACUCUUCACCCACAACCCUAGAAGCCAGCAGACAGUGGAGGAAUAUCUGCAACCACUAAGAAGAAAGGCUGCCAUCCAGGACUCCUAUUCCCAGGAAAGAUAUCAGUCACUCAUCAAGGGUGAACUCUGAUACUUAGUGUCAAUAAAAACUCUAUGGUGCCCUGGACAUUUCAGAUAACAGAUCAUCCAGCAGAGUCUGUAGGAACCAGGGAUUCCUCACCUACGGCUCAGUGAGACCAAGAAUGUUUAAAAGCCUGCCGUGGUCUCCCCAUCCCUGCAGGGAGCUUCUACUAAACUGUGAGAAACAUCAGAACAAGAACUGAAGAUGUCUUCGGGUUUUUUUGUUACUGUUUGUUUGAGACGGAGUCUCACUCUGUCACCACGCUGGACUGCGGUGGCAACCUCUCAGCUCGCUGCAACCUCCACCUCCCGAGUUCAAGCGAUUCUCCUGCCUCAGCCUCCCGAGUAGCUGGGGCUACAGGUGCAUGCCAUCAUGCCCAGCUAAUUUCUGUAUUUUUAGUAGAGACGGGGUUUCACCAUGUUGGCCAGGAUAGUCUCGAUCUCUUGACCUUGUGAUCUGCCCGCCUCAGCCUAAAGAUGCCUUCUUUGCAAGUAUGUUUGCAAUGCUCCACAACUAUUUAUUGAAUGAACAAGUGUUUGAAGAAUCCUUGACUUUUGGAGGAACCAUAUGACCUUGGGAAUGCUCACCAAUGACAAUUUUUCACUCUGAAUCAUAAUGUGAGAGCAGAAAAUUAUCAAAACAUGUUUGUAUUUCACAUUGAAAUUAAUUGAAUAAAUAUAUAAUUCAUCAUCCU
rnacentral:lncRNA from 10 species